CUUGGCUCGUGUGGGCAUGUCGGGUCCCUGCUCUGGCAGCGACGGCAUGCAGCACGGGCCUCCUCAGUUGGUGUUGGUUCAAGCGCUUAUAGCCUUGGCCGUUGUCGGUUUUCUGUGUUGCAUACCUGUUCGUAGGUAUCGGUUGGCCUAAACUUCCAUUUUCCGCCAUGCAUUGCGCCCGUAAUGGGUCGCGGUGUGGGGCGGACCACGAAGACCCGUCGAGUUCCGCGUACCGUGCGCCGGAAACCGCGUGUGGACGUUGGCCCCCGACGACGUGCUCGAUCUCUCGGAUGCGGAAAAUCAUGCGGCAUGUGGCCAUCCGCCACUAUUUGCCCCAUAAAAAGCGUUUCGCGCUUCGUGCGAACGACAGCCGCCCCCGUCUCGAUCGGGCCCUUGUGGCUCCCGUCGUGCGGUGUCGGCGUCGGUGAGGAA
rnacentral:misc_RNA from 1 species